GGAUUUGAGUCCUAAAGGCUCAGCACUUACGAAAAAGGAUAAAGUCCUUCCCAGCCUGGCAGGAGCAGGAAAAGCCUGUGAUGGGGGAAGGGAGUGAAGGCAUGUGCCUCCUCAUGGAACACAGGGUCGGAGUCAGUUAGGAGGGAUAAGAGUACAAUAGAGGGUUGUGUGACACAGACAGGCUGCCAGCCCUCAGCAUGGACCCGGUGCAUGGAAUCCGUGAACUUAAAAGAGUCAAGUGACUACCUUUGGCAACCAAAAGAGACACUGCCUUUUAGAAGGCAUAUCAUCUGAAAUUGGCUGAAAGAGCUGUCCUACUUAGGAAGAAAAAUCUCUCCUUUGGAAAGAGCUGGAACUUUUAGUAAAACUGAACAGUGAGGUGGCGGAAGAUAAAUAUGCUGAGGCAUGUUUUCAAGGAGGGGAGAUGGAUUCCUUUUCCUCAGCCUGGCACAGAGCCGACCUGCAGUGUAGCACUGUGGUGACCUGGCGGGAUCUGCUCUCCAGUCACUCCUGCGGGCCCUUCUGGGGACAAGGAGACUUUUCUGUGUGGCCUGUUGAUUUGAGAUCGAGGCUAUCAAGCUACAGAUGAUCUUACAAAUGGAACCCCAAAUGAGUGCAACUAACAACUACCAAGGACCCCGGGACCAACCCGCUGGCCCUUUCAGUGGCCUAAAGAGUUCCUCCCUGGAGGACACUACAACUGCAGGGUCCCUUCUUUGC
rnacentral:lncRNA from 1 species